UACGGAGGGGCUAGCGUUGUUCGGAAUUACUGGGCGUAAAGCGCACGUAGGCGGCUUUGCAAGUUAGAGGUGAAAGCCCGGGGCUCAACUCCGGAAUUGCCUUUAAAACUGCAUCGCUAGAAUUGUGGAGAGGUAAGUGGAAUUCCGAGUGUAGAGGUGAAAUUCGUAGAUAUUCGGAAGAACACCAGUGGCGAGGCGACUUACUGGACACAUAUUGACGCUGAGGUGCGAAAGCGUGGGAGCAAACAGG
rnacentral:rRNA from 1 species